rnacentral:rRNA from 1 species
AUUGAACGCUGGCGGCAGGCCUAACACAUGCAAGUCGAGCGGAUGAAGGGAGCUUGCUCCUGGAUUCAGCGGCGGACGGGUGAGUAAUGCCUAGGAAUCUGCCUGGUAGUGGGGGAUAACGUCCGGAAACGGGCGCUAAUACCGCAUACGUCCUGAGGGAGAAAGUGGGGGAUCUUCGGACCUCACGCUAUCAGAGGAGCCUAGGUCGGAUUAGCUAGUUGGUGGGGUAAAGGCCUACCAAGGCGACGAUCCGUAACUGGUCUGAGAGGAUGAUCAGUCACACUGGAACUGAGACACGGUCCAGACUCCUACGGGAGGCAGCAGUGGGGAAUAUUGGACAAUAGGCGAAAGCCUGAUCCAGCCAUGCCGCGUGUGUGAAGAAGGUCUUCGGAGUGUAAAGCACUUUAAGUUGGGAGGAAGGGCAGUAAGUUAAUACCUUGCUGUUUUGACGUUACCAACAGAAUAAGCACCGGCUAACUUCGUG